UUAAUCUUAUCCAUCUAGUUCCGCACUGGUUUGAUAUGACAUAUUAUGACUUGGAUGGUUCAGAUUCGUUUUGCAACCUUUGGCAAUUCCACUUAGUUUUAUAUAAUAUGCCCCGAACUAGGCAGUUCAGGUCGAUUUGGAAAACUUGGGUGCUAUGGCUCUAUAUGCCUGGAAGGCAACAAAGGAUUUAAGUAGCAUGAAGGAAAUAAAGGAAAGAAGAUGUUAGGGAACAAUAUAGUGUAUACAAGCCAAUGUAGGGAAUGGUGUCCUUAUGGUACAAAGCUUUUUUUUUCCUUUCGCAUAUUAAUAUUCAUGACACAACACAUAUCAAAAUGGUCAGCAGCUUUGGUAAUGGUCCAAGAGAAGCUAAUUAACAAGCAGAAUUCCACAAAGGCACAAUGACUCCUCAUUUUGAAUUAUGCCUGUUUAUUCCUUUAAUAUAAAAAAAAUUAUCUGGCGAUCAAUGCAUACUCACCACUAUAGGUAAUCAAUGCAUACUCACCACUAUAGGUAAUGGCGAUGGUAAUGUAUGUGAAGAAGUUCAACAGAAGUUUGAAUGUCAAUUCUACAUGGUAAAAUUGAUUCCUUGGAUUGAACUGCGUCACAUUCGCAUCUUCCUUGGAUUGAACUGCGUCAUAUGUACGCCGCCAUGGCGGGCGAUGGAAGAGCCAAUGGCAAUGGUCUUUGAGAAGCUCAUCAAAAGUUUGUGCGCUCUCUAAUAGAUUCCUUGAACUGAAUUAUGCCAUGUUCUUUUAUGAAAAAUUAUGUCGAAAUCAUAUACCAACCUGCCUAUCUUCAAUAGCCUACCUUCCUUGACCUGCAUUCCUCUCCAUUUUGCACCCUGUUUCUCAAAAAAAAUCAUGCCACGCUCAUAUUUGCUCAAAAAGAAAUAUUUGCAUUCUUUUUGUAACUGCUACUAUGCGCAAUGAUGAUGAUAAUAACCUUUGAGAAGCUCACAGCAAUCUACAUGUAAACUCUGAAAAGUACAUUGAUUCCUUAGAUUGAACACUAUUUUUCUCACCUUUGUCCCUCAAGCAAUUGAGGUCCAACCUUUGGAUUAACUGCCACCUAAUGUUUAGGCUCAUCCACAGGCAUUUUUAAUGAUCAUUUUUCUUUUAAUCCCUGGCCCAGGCAUAAGUAUGUAUAAAACAGACAUAACUACUGCAUAUAUAGGGAAAACAGUGUGUAGGAAACUAUGGAGAUUGGCCUGCAAAUAGGCAAGUAAUUUGCAUAGAAUGCAGAGAAGACACA
rnacentral:lncRNA from 1 species